AUACGGAGGGUGCAAGCGUUAUCCGGAAUCAUUGGGUUUAAAGGGUCCGUAGGCGGACUAAUAAGUCAGGGGUGAAAUCCCACAGCUUAACUGUGGGACUGCCUUUGAUACUGUUAGUCUUGAGUUAUAUGGAAGUAGAUAGAAUGUGUAGUGUAGCGGUGAAAUGCUUAGAGAUUACACAGAAUACCGAUUGCGAAGGCAGUCUACUACAUAUAUACUGACGCUAAUGGACGAAAGCGUGGGGAGCGAACAGGAUUAGAAACCCUUGUAGUCC
rnacentral:rRNA from 1 species